AGUGAACGCUGGCGGUAGGCCUAACACAUGCAAAUCGAACGGCAGCACAGUAAGAGCUUGCUCUUACGGGUGGCGAGUGGCGGACGGGUGAGGAAUACAUCGGAAUCUACUUUUUCGUGGGGGAUAACGUAGGGAAACUUACGCUAAUACCGCAUACGACCUACGGGUGAAAGCAGGGGAUCUUCGGACCUUGCGCGAUUGAAUGAGCCGAUGUCGGAUUAGCUAGUUGGCGGGGUAAAGGCCCACCAAGGCGACGAUCCGUAGCUGGUCUGAGAGGAUGAUCAGCCACACUGGAACUGAGACACGGUCCAGACUCCUACGGGAGGCAGCAGUGGGGAAUAUUGGACAAUGGGCGCAAGCCUGAUCCAGCCAUACCGCGUGGGUGAAGAAGGUCUUCGGGUUGUAAAGCCCUUUUGUUGGGAAAGAAAAGCAGCAGGUUAAUACCCCGCUGUUCUGACGGUACCCAAAGAAUAAGCACCGGCUAACUUCGUG
rnacentral:rRNA from 1 species